rnacentral:misc_RNA from 1 species
UAAUUGACGAAGAUGAA